rnacentral:rRNA from 1 species
UACGUAGGGGGCGAGCGUUGUCCGGAAUCAUUGGGCGUAAAGCGCGUGUAGGCGGCUUGGUAAGUCCGCUCUGAAAGCCCGGGGCUCAACCCCGGGAGGCGGGUGGAUACUGUCAAGCUCGAGCCCGGAAGAGGCGAGUGGAAUUCCUGGUGUAGCGGUGAAAUGCGCAGAUAUCAGGAGGAACACCAAUGGCGAAGGCAGCUCGCUGGGACGUGACUGACGCUGAGACGCGAAAGCGUGGGGAGCAAACAGG